rnacentral:rRNA from 1 species
AGUGAACGCUGGCGGUAGGCCUAACACAUGCAAGUCGAACGGCAGCACAGUAAGAGCUUGCUCUUACGGGUGGCGAGUGGCGGACGGGUGAGGAAUACAUCGGAAUCUACUUUUUCGUGGGGGAUAACGUAGGGAAACUUACGCUAAUACCGCAUACGACCUACGGGUGAAAGCAGGGGACCUUCGGGCCUUGCGCGAUUGAAUGAGCCGAUGUCGGAUUGGCUAGUUGGCGGGGUAAAGGCCCACCAAGGCGACGAUCCGUAGCUGGUCUGAGAGGAUGAUCAGCCACACUGGAACUGAGACACGGUCCAGACUCCUACGGGAGGCAGCAGUGGGGAAUAUUGGACAAUGGGCGCAAGCCUGAUCCAGCCAUACCGCGUGGGUGAAGAAGGCCUUCGGGUUGUAAAGCCCUUUUGUUGGGAAAGAAAUCCAGCCGGCUAAUACCUGGUUGGGAUGACGGUACCCAAAGAAUAAGCACCGGCUAACUUCGUGCCAGCAGCCGCAGUAA